AUGGUCGCCGUCGCCGCGUCGAUCCCGUGGCCGCCGACCUCCCCUCGUCACGCCAAGACGUCCAGUAGCUCCGCCAUCGUCGUCUCCUUCACCCUCGCCGAAGGGCUCGAGCUAGGAGGCCACGUAUGCUCACCAUCGCCAUCGUCUUCGUCCACGGCCGCCGCAUCUCAUCAUCGAUUUCGUCGUGUCCGUCGACACCCGCGCUCGCUAACCUCGUCCACGAACUCCGAGGUGAGCUCCUCUGCCGAUUCCACCUUCGAUCUAUGCCCGCGUGUGCCGCAGCUGCAGCUACCCACGUGCGCUCGCCCGUUGUUGCUUUGCUUGUUGCCGCUGCUUGUGCCGUUGUUGCCUUGCUUGCUGCUGCUGCCGGGGGUACGUGCUGCAUCACGGGGGUCAAUCCGGUGGUCGUUGCUCCGCCGGGGGUGGCCUGUGCCGCCGAGACGAGCGCCCGAGCUCCUCUCUGUCCCGCGGGAGAGCAACAGAGGAAGGAGACAGACUUGUCAAGCGGACCCCGCCUCCUCUAGGCCCCACCCAUCAAUCUCAGCCGCACCUGCCAAGGAAGGCCCACCCGCAGGUCAAAACCACUGUUGA
rnacentral:rRNA from 1 species